CGCCUGUCAAGAUCCGGCCUGUGCUAGCUGGAGCUUCUCAAGGGGUUGACUACAGGGCCCCACUGUUAUUUGCCAGCUUCUCCCAGGCCACCAAGGUCCUGUGUCAGACAAGUCCCCUGAGUGUUCACACACCACUCCUUCCCUCCAGCAUCCUUGUUACCCCUACAUCCUGAUGGGCCCCAAUGUUGUUGAAAAUAUUUAAUCCCAAUCCAGGGUUUCUGCUCCGUCUUUAAUACACAUAACCUUCAUAAUAAGCCUUAAUCAGCACGAGAGCUGGGCAGGUGUCUGUCUAUCCUCUCUACUGUUGUGUCCAUUUCCCAGCCAGUAAUCCCAUUAGAUAAUUUGCCGUGUUUUGUCUGGAUUGCUCUUAACCCCAUAGUCAGCCCAUGUGGCCAUUAUUUUAAGAAUCUUACCCAAUGGAGGCUUCUCUCUCCUCCCUUUUUCCCACCUCGAUGACCCCCAAGCCUGGGAACCCUAAACCUCACCUAUGUCUCUUCUGCCCAGCUUGGCUGUCUGCAUCUUUAUUCGCCAAUCAGGGAUAACUUGGGGAGCAGGGUCACCUGGGUCUGUGUGUGGUGUCUGGGAGCAACCAGUAUUUAGCAUAGCAAAAGACCAAACCUCAACAUGCCAGUGGGCGUCAGUGCCAGGCUUGACACAGGGUCCUACCAGGGCACUGGUGGUGAGUGGGGGCAGGGUAAGGGGCAAUGCCUUGUGGUUAGAUACGGACGAAGGGAGAGGGGAGGAGAGACUACCAAAGCAAACUGAUAUAACAGGUGUUGGGGGCCUGGGUAUCUUGGGGGCUGCAGUUGAUUUCCUGGAUCAUCUGGGACAGGAGUUGAGGGAAGUGGGUCUGCAGGGGCUGGUCCUCCAGCAGCAGCUGCUAGAGUGGCCAGUCCUCUGGUUCCCUAUUGCCUCCCCUGGGAGUCUUUCCUGCAUCUCUGCACGGUGGCUGCGCAGAGCCACUGUGAAAGCCACCAUAGGAAACAGGUCCAGGAAAGGAUACAUCCACAUGAAAAGAAGGGGCUGGUGUGACUCUGUCUGUGGAAAAUGGUUAGAACCUUACAUGGCCUGUCCUCUGCCAUGGAUGAAAAGGGAACAGCAGAGGCUGCUGCACCUGUCCUCCUCCGGCUGACACGAAGAGGCUGAGAAGCCCUGGCUAGGCCCUGUGCACAGUGGCAGGCUUGAGGGGACUUGAGGCAGGGUGUCCUAAGGCUCCAGAGGCGGCCG
rnacentral:lncRNA from 1 species